AGAGUUUGAUCAUGGCUCAGGACGAACGCUGGCGGCGCGCUUAACACAUGCAAGUCGAGCGAUAACCAUGGCUUCGGCCAUGGGGAGAGCGGCGAACGGGUGAGUAACACGUGAGCGAUCUGCCCUCGACACUGGGAUAGCCCGGGGAAACCCGGAUUAAUACCGGAUAGCCUCUCGGGUCUACGGGCCCGUGAGAAAAGAUGGCUUCGGCUUUCGGUUGAGGAGGAGCUUGCGGCGGAUUAGCUUGUUGGUGGGGUAACGGCUCACCAAGGCGACGAUCCGUAGCUGGUCUGAGAGGACGAUCAGCCACACUGGGACUGAGACACGGCCCAGACUCCUACGGGAGGCAGCAGUGGGGAAUCUUGCGCAAUGGGCGAAAGCCUGACGCAGCGACGCCGCGUGAGGGAAGAAGGCCUUCGGGUUGUAAACCUCUUUCAGGAGGGACGAAGCUACUCGGGUUAAUAGCCCAGAGGGUGACGGUACCUCCAGAAGAAGCCCCGGCUAACUACGUGCUAGCCGCCGCGGUAAUAC
rnacentral:rRNA from 1 species